ACAUCCAGAGAGUUUAGCAGAGAUGCUUUAGUGCCUUCGGGAACUCUGAGACAGGUGCUGCAUGGCUGUCGUCAGCUCGUGUUGUGAAAUGUUGGGUUAAGUCCCGNAACGAGCGCAACCCUUAUCCUUUGUUGCCAGCACGUAAUGGUGGGAACUCAAAGGAGACUGCCGGUGAUAAACCGGAGGAAGGUGGGGAUGACGUCAAGUCAUCAUGGCCCUUACGAGUAGGGCUACACACGUGCUACAAUGGCGCAUACAAAGAGAAGCGACCUCGCGAGAGCAAGCGGACCUCAUAAAGUGCGUCGUAGUCCGGAUUGGAGUCUGCAACUCGACUCCAUGAAGUCGGAAUCGCUAGUAAUCGUAAAUCAGAAUGUUACGGUGAAUACGUUCCCGGGCCUUGUACACACCGCCCGUCACACCAUGGGAGUGGGUUGCAAAAGAAGUAGAUAGCUUAACCUUCGGGAGGGCGUUUACCACUUUGUGAUUCAUGACUGGGGUGAAGUCGUAACAAGGUAGGCGUAGUGCU
rnacentral:rRNA from 1 species